rnacentral:rRNA from 1 species
ACGCUCGACACCUACGGGGGCAGCAGUGGGGAAUAUUGCACAAUGGGGGAAACCCUGAUGCAGCGACGCCGCGUGGAGGAAGAAGGUCUUCGGAUUGUAAACUCCUGUUGUUGGGGAAAAAGAGGAUGGUACCCAACAAGGAAGUGACGGCUAACUACGUGCCAGCACGCCGGACGGUAAUCUGAGGCGGGCGUGGACGAAGGC